rnacentral:lncRNA from 13 species
UGAAAAACUCUUCUAAUGGAAUCCAGCUUGAAAGCUACUCAAGAGCAGCUAACUGAGCAAAUAGCAGAAACAGUUUGCCAAGAACAGAACAGUAGAAAACCCCAGGCAGAGCUGAAGACAGUGACAGAAGGGAUUAUUGCUUCUGAAGAAGAAAAAAAUGAUUACAAACUCAAAUUAACAAAGAACUGUGGAAGAUGUCUAGCCAAAACCCAGUGGGGAACUGAUUCUUGCCAACAACUACUGAACUUGGAAGUAGAUCCAUUGGCAACUGGACUUUCAGAUACAACCCAUAUCUGACACCUUGAUUGUGAUUCUAUGACAGACCUCAGUCAGAGCACCUAGUUAAGUCAAACCCAGAUUGCUGACUCCCAGAAACUAUAAGGUAAGAAACGCGUGUUAUUUGGAGUCAAUAACUUUUGUGGUAGUUAUACAUUACUGUAUUACUAAUUCAUCCUUGAAAUACAAUUUUCCUCUUAAAACAUAGGUUAUGGGCUAUAAUUUUACCUAUUUCUCUAAUGUAGAAUUUAUAAACCCAGAUGACAGGCAGCAGAAUGACCUUAAAGGCCAGUAGUUGUAUGUAAUUGAGUGAUUGAGAAGUCGUAGAUUCUUAAGCACUAGUCACCUUCAAAGAAGAUCACUAAUGAAUGAAC